GCAUAUCAUUUCCAAUGCUCCAGUACCAGCAGUUAUAACUGAAGCACACCAGAUUUUACUCGUGAUGGUUGAUAGCUUAGCUAAAUUAAGUAUGGAUGUUGGGGAU